ensembl:snRNA U6 U6 spliceosomal RNA
GUGCUCCCUUCAGCAGCACAUAUACUAAAAUUGGAAUGAUGCAGAGAAGAUUAGCACCGCCCCUGUGCAAGGGUAACACCCAAGUUCAUGAAGUGUUUUGUAUUUUU